rnacentral:rRNA from 1 species
ACGGAAAGGCCUCUUUCGGGGGGUACUCGAGUGGCGAACGGGUGAGUAACACGUGAGUAACCUGCCCUUGACUUUGGGAUAACUUCAGGAAACUGGGGCUAAUACCGGAUAGGAGCUCCUGCUGCAUGGUGGGGGUUGGAAAGUUUCGGCGGUUGGGGAUGGACUCGCGGCUUAUCAGCUUGUUGGUGGGGUAGUGGCUUACCAAGGCUUUGACGGGUAGCCGGCCUGAGAGGGUGACCGGCCACAUUGGGACUGAGAUACGGCCCAGACUCCUACGGGAGGCAGCAGUGGGGAAUAUUGCACAAUGGGUGGAAGCCUGAUGCAGCAACGCCGUGUGCGGGAUGACGGCCUUCGGGUUGUAAACCGCUUUCGCUCAUGACGAAGCUUUGUGUGACGGUAGUGGGUAAAGAAGCACCGGCUAACUACGUGCCAGCAGCCGCGGUGAUACGUAGGGUGCGAGCGUUGUCCGGAUUUAUUGGGCGUAAAGGGCUCGUAGGUGGUUGAUCGCGUCGGAAGUGUAAUCUUGGGGCUUAACCCUGAGCGUGCUUUUGAUACGGGUUGACUUGAGGAAGGUAGGGGAGAAUGGAAUUCCUGGUGGAGCGGUGGAAUGCGCAGAUAUCAGGAGGAACACCGGUGGCGAAGGCGGUUCUCUGGGCCUUUCCUGACGCUGAGGAGCGAAAGCGUGGGGAGCGAACAGGCUUAGAUACCCUGGUAGUCCACGCUGUAAACGGUGGGUACUAGGUGUGGGGUCCAUUCCACG